CCGACGGUGAGGGAUGAAGCCCUGGGGCGCAAACGGGAUUAGAUACCCCGGUAGUCCAGGGUGUAAACGCUGCGGGCUUGGUGUUGGGGGUCCUUAGUGGGCGCCCAGUGCCGGAGAGAAGUUGUUAAGCCUGCUGCUUGGGGAGUAUGUCCGCAAGGAUGAAACUUAAAGGAAUUGGCGGGGGAGCACCGCAACGGGAGGAGCGUGCGGUUCAAUUGGAUUCAACGCCGAAAAACUCACCAGGAGCGACGGAUAUAUGAAGGUCAAGCUGAUGACUUUACCUGAUUUUCCGAGAGGUGGUGCAUGGCCGUCGUCAGUUCGUACCGUAAGGCGUUCUCUUAAGUG
rnacentral:rRNA from 1 species